UACGGAGGGUGCAAGCGUUAUCCGGAAUCAUUGGGUUUAAAGGGUCCGUAGGCGGAAUGAUAAGUCAGUGGUGAAAUGCAGGGGCUCAACUCCGGCACUGCCAUUGAUACUGUUGUUCUUGAAUUAUUGUGAAGUGGUUAGAAUAUGUAGUGUAGCGGUGAAAUGCUUAGAUAUUACAUAGAAUACCGAUUGCGAAGGCAGAUCACUAACAAUAUAUUGACGCUGAUGGACGAAAGCGUGGGGAGCGAACAGG
rnacentral:rRNA from 1 species